rnacentral:rRNA from 1 species
UAUGAACCAGGAUUAGAUACCCUGUUACUUUUAUUAACAGAUUUUGGAAUAUUAAUUAUUAUGAAAUUUAACGGACUUGGCGGCAAAAUAGCUUUUUAGAGGAACCUGCCCUGUAAACGAUAAGCCACGAGGGCCCUACUUUUUUAUAUUUAGUUUGUAUAUCGCUGUUGUCAGUUAGAUUCUUAAGAAUGUUUACAAAUAUGAUAAAAUCAUUGACUUCAAGUAAAGGUGCAGUUCAUAAAAGAGAUAGAGGUGGGUUACAUUUAGAAGAUUAAAACGGAGAAAUGAAUUAAAUGAUUUUUGAAGGUGGAUUUAACUGUAAAAUUUAAAAAAAUUUGAUCUUAGCUCUAUUUUGUGUACACACCGCCCGUCGCUCUCUUUUUUGAA